rnacentral:rRNA from 1 species
UAAGGAAUAUUGGUCAAUGGACGCAAGUCUGAACCAGCCAUGCCGCGUGAAGGAUUAAGGCCCUCUGGGUUGUAAACUUCUUUUAUAGGGGAAGAAAUGUGACGGUUCUCCGUCACUUGACGGUACCCUGGGAAUAAGCACCGGCUAACUCCGUGCCAGCAGCCGCGGUAAUACGUAGGGUGCGAGCGUUAAUCGGAAUUACUGGGCGUAAAUCGUGCGCAGGCGGUUUUGUAAGACAGAUGUGAAAUCCCCGGGCUUAACCUGGGAACUGCGUUUGUGACUGCAAGUCUGGAGGACGGAAGAGGGGGGUGGAAUUCCACGUGUAGCGGUGAAAUGCGUAGAGAUGUGGAGGAACACCGAUGGCGAAGGCAGC